AAGGCACCAAUUUGUAAGUCGCUCUGGAUAAGAGCGUCUGCUAAAUGACGUAAA
rfam:Salmo salar isolate Sally breed double haploid chromosome ssa26, whole genome shotgun sequence.